GGCUCAGAACGAACGCUUGCAGCGUGGAUUAGGCAUGCAAGUCGAACGGGAAGCUUCGGUUUCAAUCUUCGGAAAGUUACUGAGGCGGAGAGUGGCGAAAGGGUGAGUAACGCGUGAGUAAUCUACCUCAAAGUCUGGGAUAACCCCGCGAAAGUGGAGCUAAUACCGGAUGUGGUAUCUUGUCGCAUGGCAAGAUUACUAAAGGUGGGGAUCCUUCGGGACCUGCUGCUAUGAGAGGAACUCGCGUCCCAUCAGCUUGUUGGUAGGGUAACGGCCUACCAAGGCUUACGGGUAGCCGGCCUGAGAGGGUGACCGGCCACACUGGGACUGAGACACUGCCCAGACUCCUACGGGAGGCUGCAGUCGAGGAUCAUUCGCAAUGCGCGAAAGCGUGACGAUGCGACGCUGCGUGAAGGAUGACAGCCUUCGGGUUGUAAACUCCUGUCAUGAGGGAACAGUAAGCAAAGGGCUAAUACCCCUUCGCUCCGAUGGUACCUCAAGAGGAAGCCACGGCUAACUCUGUGCCAGCAGCCGCGGUAAUACAGAGGUGGCGAGCGUUGUUCGGAUUUACUGGGCGUAAAGGGUGCGUAGGUGGUUUCGUAUGUCGGAUGUGAAAGCCCGGGGCUCAACCCCGGAACUGCAUUCGAAACUGCGGGACUAGAGUACAGGAUGGGAGAGCGGAAUUCUUGGUGUAGCGGUGAAAUGCGUUGAGAUCAAGAAGAACACCGGUGGCGAAGGCGGCUCUCUGGAAUGUUACUGACACUCAUGCACGAAAGCUGGGGGAGCAAACAGGAUUAGAUACCCUGGUAGUCCCAGCCGUAAACUGUGUGCACUUGGCG
rnacentral:rRNA from 1 species